rnacentral:rRNA from 1 species
AGAGUUUGAUCAUGGCUCAGAACGAACGCUGGCGGCGUGCCUAACACAUGCAAGUCGAACGAGAAAGGGGCUUCGGCCCUGAGUAAAGUGGCGCACGGGUGAGUAACACGUAGGUAACCUGCCUCUAAGAUUGGGAUAACCUGUCGAAAGACGGGCUAAUACCAAAUAAGACCAGGGUCUCUUCGGAGACUGAGGUCAAAGGUAGCCUCUAUUUAUAUGCUAUCGCUUAGAGAUGGGCCUGCGCACCAUUAGCUAGUUGGUGGGGUAAGAGCCUACCAAGGCAAAGAUGGUUAGCUGGUCUGAGAGGAUGAUCAGCCACACUGGAACUGAGACACGGUCCAGACUCCUACGGGAGGCAGCAGUGGGGAAUAUUGCGCAAUGGGCGAAAGCCUGACGCAGCAACGCCGCGUGAGUGAUGAAGGCCUUCGGGUCGUAAAGCUCUGUCGGAGGGAACGAAUGCUCUUGAGGUUAAUAGCCUCAGGAGGUGACGGUACCCUCAAAGGAAGCACCGGCUAACUCUGUGCCAGCAGCGGCGGUAAUAC